UAACACACAAUUAAAUCUCACAAAAGAUCCAUGCAAUUAACGAACCAAAGUUUAUGGUGAAACUAGAGCCACCAAAAGUACAAUCAUAAUUAAACAAAAACAAUAAUAAUAAAAAGCUCAAAAUAAAAAUCUACUACUACUCAAAAAAAUCCUCAAUCUUCCUCAUCAUGUCUACCACCUACGGAUCCAAGGACAUCUUCCAUCUCAUCAUCAU
rnacentral:lncRNA from 1 species